rnacentral:rRNA from 1 species
CAGUCGCCGCGGUAAAACGGAGGGUGCAAGCGUUAAUCGGAAUUACUGGGCGUAAAGCGCACGCAGGCGGUCUGACAAGUCAGAUGUGAAAUCCCCGGGCUUAACCUGGGAACUGCAUUUGAAACUGUCAGGCUGGAGUCUUGUAGAGGGGGGUAGAAUUCCAGGUGUAGCGGUGAAAUGCGUAGAGAUCUGGAGGAAUACCGGUGGCGAAGGCGGCCCCCUGGACGAAGACUGACGCUCAGGUGCGAAAGCGUGGGGAGCAAACAGGAUUAGAUACCCCGGUAGUCCCUGUCUCUUAUAC